rnacentral:rRNA from 1 species
GACGAACGCUGGCGGCGUGCUUAACACAUGCAAGUCGAACGAUGAAGCCGGAGCUUGCUCUGGUGAAUUAGUGGCGAACGGGUGAGUAACACGUGAGUAACCUGCCCUUGACUCUGGGAUAACUGCUAGAAAUGGUAGCUAAUACCGGAUACGACCCUCGGAGGCAUCUUCAGGGGGUGGAAAGAAUUUCGGUCAAGGAUGGACUCGCGGCCUAUCAGCUAGUUGGUGAGGUAAUGGCUCACCAAGGCGACGACGGGUAGCCGGCCUGAGAGGGUGGCCGGCCACACUGGGACUGAGACACGGAGCAGACUCCUACGGGAGGCAGCAGUGGGGAAUAUUGCACAAUGGGCGCAAGCCUGAUGCAGCAACGCCGCGUGAGGGAUGACGGCCUUCGGGGUGUAAACCUCUUUUAGUAGGGAAGAAGCGAAAGUGACGGUACCUGCAGAAAAAGCACCGGCUAACUACGUGCCAGCAGCCGCCGUAA